rnacentral:rRNA from 1 species
AUGGAAGGGCCAUCGCUCAACGGAUAAAAGGUACUCCGGGGAUAACAGGCUGAUACCGCCCAAGAGUUCAUAUCGACGGCGGUGUUUGGCACCUCGAUGUCGGCUCAUCACAUCCUGGGGCUGAAGUAGGUCCCAAGGGUAUGGCUGUUCGCCAUUUAAAGUGGUACGCGAGCUGGGUUUAGAACGUCGUGAGACAGUUCGGUCCCUAUCUGCCGUGGGCGCUGGAGAAUUGAGGGGGGCUGCUCCUAGUACGAGAGGACCGGAGUGGACGCAUCACUGGUGUUCGGGUUGUCAUGCCAAUGGCACUGCCCGGUAGCUAAAUGCGGAAGAGAUAAGUGCUGAAAGCAUCUAAGCACGAAACUUGCCCCGAGAUGAGUUCUCCCUGAGACUUUAAGUCUCCUGAAGGAACGUUGAAGACGACGACGUUGAUAGGUCGGGUGUGUAAGCGCAGCGAUGCGUUGAGCUAACCGAUACUAAUGAACCGUGAGGCUUAACCUUACAACGCCGAAGGUGUUU